UACGUAGGGACCAAGCGUUGUUCGGAUUUACUGGGCGUAAAGGGCGCGUAGGCGGCAAUUCAAGUCAUCUGUGAAAUCUCCGGGCUUAACUCGGAACGGUCAGAUGAUACUGCUUUGCUAGAGUGCGGAAGGGGCAAUCGGAAUUCUUGGUGUAGCGGUGAAAUGCGUAGAUAUCAGGAGGAACACCGGUGGCGAAGGCGGGUCUCUGGGCAGUAACUGACGCUGAGGAGCGAAAGCGUGGGGAGCGAACAGG
rnacentral:rRNA from 1 species